rnacentral:lncRNA from 1 species
UACUGAUUCAUACUGUUGCUCUACAGUUUCUCUCUUAAGAUUGUGAGUUUCACUGCCAAUCAUAAAGAGUAUAAAAAGCUAUGAGCACAACUUGUUUGUAAUAACAACUAAUUCACGAUGGAAGGUUAUUAAUAACAACUAAUUCACGAUGGAAGGUUAUUGGCUAUUUCUUCCCCAGAAAAACAAGUGAUAGCUAGUGGGAAUUGUGAUAAAAAAUUUCAUUCAACUAGAAAAUCCCAUUAACUGCAUACCUG